GACGAACGCUGGCGGCGUGCCUAAUACAUGCAAGUCGAACGCAUCCCGCUGAAUUGAAGUGCUUGCACUGAUUUUCAGCAUUGGCUGAGUGGCGAACUGGUGAGUAACACGUGGGUAACUUGCCCAGAAGCGGGGGAUAACACUUGGAAACAGGUGCUAAUACCGCAUAACAACUGAAACCGCAUGGUUUCAGUUUGAAAGAUGGUUUCGGCUAUCACUUCUGGAUGGACCCGCGGCGUAUUAGCUAGUUGGUGGAGUAAUGGUUCACCAAGGCAAUGAUACGUAGCCGACCUGAGAGGGUAAUCGGCCACAUUGGGACUGAGACACGGCCCAAACUCCUACGGGAGGCAGCAGUAGGGAAUCUUCCACAAUGGACGAAAGUCUGAUGGAGCAACGCCGCGUGAGUGAAGAAGGGUUUCGGCUCGUAAAACUCUGUUGUUGUAGAAGAACACAUCUGAGAGUAACUGUUCAGGUGUUGACGGUAUUUAACCAGAAAGCCACGGCUAACUACGUGCCAGCAGCCGCGGUAAUACGUAGGUGGCAAGCGUUGUCCGGAUUUAUUGGGCGUAAAGCGAGCGCAGGCGGUUUCUUAAGUCUGAUGUGAAAGUCUUCGGCUAAACCGGAGAAGUGCAUCGGAAACUGGGAGACUUGAGUGCAGAAGAGGACAGUGGAACUCCAUGUGUAGCGGUGAAAUGCGUAGAUAUAU
rnacentral:rRNA from 1 species